rnacentral:rRNA from 1 species
UACGUAGGGUGCAAGCGUUAAUCGGAAUUACUGGGCGUAAAGCGUGCGCAGGCGGUUUUGUAAGUCUGUCGUGAAAUCCCCGGGCUCAACCUGGGAAUUGCGAUGGAGACUGCAAGGCUAGAAUCUGGCAGAGGGGGAUGGAAUUCCGCGUGUAGCAGUGAAAUGCGUAGAUAUGCGGAGGAACACCGAUGGCGAAGGCAAUCCCCUGGGCCUGCACUGACGCUCAUGCACGAAAGCGUGGGGAGCAAACAGG